GAUGAACGCUGGCGGCGUGCUUAACACAUGCAAGUCGAACGAAACACCUUAUUUGAUUUUCUUCGGAACUGAAGAUUUGGUGAUUGAGUGGCGGACGGGUGAGUAACGCGUGGGUAACCUGCCCUGUACAGGGGGAUAACAGUCAGAAAUGACUGCUAAUACCGCAUAAGACCACAGCACCGCAUGGUGCAGGGGUAAAAACUCCGGUGGUACAGGAUGGACCCGCGUCUGAUUAGCUGGUUGGUGAGGUAACGGCUCACCAAGGCGACGAUCAGUAGCCGGCAUGAGAGAGUGAACGGCCACAUUGGGACUGAGACACGGCCCAAACUCCUACGGGAGGCAGCAGUGGGGAAUAUUGCACAAUGGGGGAAACCCUGAUGCAGCGACGCCGCGUGAGUGAAGAAGUAUUUCGGGAUGUAAAGCUCUAUCAGCAGGGAAGAAAAUGACGGUACCAGACGAAGAAGCCCCGGCUAACUACGUG
rnacentral:rRNA from 1 species